rnacentral:miRNA from 1 species
CUCCAGAACACGUCAAGAGAG